rnacentral:rRNA from 1 species
AAACCAACAGGGAUUGCCUCAGUAACGGCGAGUGAAGCGGCAACAGCUCAAAUUUGAAAUCUGGCCUUCGGGUCCGAGUUGUAAUUUGCAGAGGAUGCUUUUGACGAAGCGGCGACCGAGUCCCCUGGAAUGGGGCGCCUUAGAGGGUGAGAGCCCCGUAUGGUCGCACUGCCGAGUCUCUGUAAAGCUCCUUCAACGAGUCGAGUAGUUUGGGAAUGCUGCUCUAAAUGGGAGGUGUAUGUCUUCUAAAGCUAAAUACCGGCUAGUGACCGAUAGCGCACAAGUAGAGUGAUCGAAAGGUGAAAAGAACUUUGAAAAGAGAGUUAAAAAGUACGUGAAAUUGUCAAAAGGGAAGCAUUUAUGACCAGACUUGGGCGUGGUUGAUCAUCCGGCGUUCUCGCCGGUGCACUCUGCCCGCCUAGGCCAGCAUCAGUUCGCUUCGGGGGAGAAAGGCACUGGGAAUGUAGCUCCUUCGGGAGUGUUAUAGCCCUAUGCGUAAUGCCCUGGGGUGGACUGAGGUCCGCGCUCGCGCUG